rnacentral:ncRNA from 1 species
UAACUGGCUUGUCGCGGCCAAGUGUGCGUAGCGAGGUUGACUUGUCGGCUCCUCCUAUCAUUGAGACGCAGAAGUCCCAAGGUGCCGGAUUGUUCACCCGCCAACAGGGAACGUGAGCUGGGUUUAGACCGUCGUGAGACAGGUU